GGUCUGCCUGAAAUUAAUGAUUAUACACAAAACAUAAUUCACAUCAGGCUUGGUACAUUGAAUAUAUGGAUAAGUAAACUCUUUUACACCCAUUCAUAUUGAACCUCUUCCACAUAAAUUUCAUGUAUCCAGACUGGGACAAGUCAUGCAUCCACUUAUAUCCAUCCCUAUAGAUGCCAAGAAAUAUUGGAUGCUUAAUCCAAGUCUUUUUUCAUGAAAAUAUUUGGGAUAAGCAUAUAAAUGACCGAGUGUAAUAUCAAGACUACCUUCUCAAUAUACUGUA
rnacentral:lncRNA from 1 species